GAUGAACGCUGGCGGCGUGCCUAAUACAUGCAAGUAGAACGCUGAAGGAAGGAGCUUGCUCUUUCCGGAUGAGUUGCGAACGGGUGUGUAACGCGUAGGUAACCUGCCUGGUAGCGGGGGAUAACUAUUGGAAACGAUAGCUAAUACCGCAUAACAGUAGAUGUUGCAUGAUAUCUACUUAAAAGGUGCAAUUGCACCACUACCAGGUGGACCUGCGUUGUAUUAGCUAGUUGGUGAGGUAACGGCUCACCAAGGCGACGAUACAUAGCCGACCUGAGAGGGUGAUCGGCCACACUGGGACUGAGACACGGCCCAGACUCCUACGGGAGGCAGCAGUAGGGAAUCUUCGGCAAUGGACGGAAGUCUGACCGAGCAACGCCGCGUGAGUGAAGAAGGUUUUCGGAUCGUAAAGCUCUGUUGUAAGAGAAGAACGAGUGUGAGAGUGGAAAGUUCACACUGUGACGGUAUCUUACCAGAAAGGGACGGCUAACUACGUG
rnacentral:rRNA from 1 species